AAAGUAAUACCUCACUGACCUAAAGUAAAUCCCAGGAGGAGUUCUUCCUGGGCUUUGAAUUUGCAGUAACAGGUGUGAACAUUCUAGAGGCAGUUGGAUGAUCAUGUAUGAUACUGCAGACAAGA
ensembl:snoRNA